AAGUCGUAACAAGGUUUCCGUAGGUGAACCUGCGGAAGGAUCAUCACUGCAUCCGCACCUUUUUGUCACACCUCUGUGGAACGUUGAGAAAGCGGAAGAAAGCACGCGUGUGUGCUCUUUGAGCGCACGCGUGUCUUUUUUCCAUCUCUUCAUUCAUAAAACAACGCCGAACGCUCUUAUGAAAAACAAACAAAAACAAAUAGACACAACUUUUAACAACGGAUCUCUUGGUUCUC
rnacentral:misc_RNA from 1 species